rnacentral:rRNA from 1 species
AAUCAACGCUGGCGGCGUGCCUAACACAUGCAAGUCGAACGCGAAAAGGGCUUCGGCCCCUAGUAGAGUGGCGUACGGGUGAGUAACGCGUGGGUCAUCUGCCCUCGGGUGGGGAAUAACUAAUCGAAAGGUUAGCUAAUACCGCAUAACACAGUGAUGUCAAAGCAGCAAUGUGCCUGAGGAGGAGCCUGCGUCUGAUUAGGUAGUUGGUGGGGUAACGGCCUACCAAGCCUGCGAUCAGUAGCUGGUCUGAGAGGACGGCCAGCCACAAUGGCACUGAAAUACGGGCCAUACUCCUAUGGGAGGCAGCAGUGGGGAAUUUUGCGCAAUGGGCGAAAGCCUGACGCAGCAACGCCGCGUGAGGGAUGAAAUAUUUCGGUAUGUAAACCUCGCAAAUAUGGGAAGAACAAAAUGACGGUACCAUAUGUAAGCCACGGCUAACUUCGUGCCAGCCGCCGCCGUAACAC